UUUCUUUCUUAGCUCUAAACCUAUGGGAUGUCUAUAUUAUAAUCGACGAUUAGGCUGCCAACUUUCUCUUAGCUUAAACCUACAGCAUCGCUACAAUAAUCGACGAUUAGGGCUGCCAAGUUUUCUCUUCGAUUAGCUGAUAUUGCUGUAAUAAUCGAUUAUUAAGGCUGCUAAGUUUUCUCUUUGAUUAGAUGAUAGAAUCGCUACAAUCAAUAAUUAGGACUGUCAGGUACUCUUUCAUUAGCUGAUAGACUCGUUACAAUCGAUGAUUAGGGAUGCCGGUGUACUAUUCGCUAAAAUCUCUAACGACAGUCACUACAGUUGCUACAAAUGAUUCAAUCUUGUGGAGAUGAUCUCAUAGUGAGCUGCCGGUGGUGAGCUCUGUGGGAUUUACUGUCACCGCUUUAAAAAUCGAUUUGUGUUGGAAAGGCAGAUGAAUUUUGCACAGUAAUUUCUCUCAAAUUUGCACUUCAAUUGCUUCAAUUUUGGAAUUUUAAGAUUAAUGAGAAAUGAUGAUGAGAAAUGAUGUCUAUGGAAAGGAUGAUCUUUAGCCUGUUACUUUGAAAAUACUUAAAUAGGAUUUCCACCAUGUUACAGUGACUCUGUUAGGAAAAUCACACCUGGAUUGCCUCUUUUGUUGUACAACUACUCAGCUCAUCAGUUUCACAGAGUUUUUAAGGUUGCUAGCUUUGGUGGCUCAAACAUUGGUCUGUCUGCCUGGACAAGAACCCUUGUGAAUCUUGCUUUCCUGCUCAGAGACUUAAAGAAUCAUGAAUAAGCAAGGGUGUUCGAGAAAUCAUCAGAAAGCUAAAAACUUUCUUUCAGUUGGAUCACUAGCAGCUCUACGAAACAAACAAAUACUAGAACACAAGAAGAAGAAGAACACAGGAUGCAUAAAUGCAAAGAAAAAGAAUCAAAAGCAAAAGGAGAAGGCAAACAUCAUUCCACAUAUAUCUCAAGUACAAUAACAAGUGUAACAAGUGCCAACUAUAUCUUAGGUAUCAGAACAAGUGCAAUAGGUGUGUCCGAAUUUCACCUCUCUUGCAUCACCAACACCAGUAGAGGAGCAAGUGCGACAAGAAUUUCCAGACUCCACCAUUCGUGCAUUACAACCCAUAAUUGAAUGAGUCCGGCAAGCUCAGUCAUAACUUCCAAAUUUACAAGAAAAUGAACAAUCUGGAGAAGGCAAGAAUAUAUAUAUAUAUAUAUAUAUAUAUAUUUUAGUUCAUACUAUUUCAAAAAUUAUAUGCAUUUUAGUAAUUUUAUUGUUGAUCUUAUUGCAUGCCCUUCAACUAAUAAAAGAAAAAGAGGAUGGAAUGACCGUCAACUAAUACUGCUAAAUGAGUUGAACCAGCCUAUUGGUCCAACUAAAGCUGUGGUCACUGAAUUUUCUAGCUUUUUUGUCACAUUGGCAAGGAGCGGGACAUUUUGUCCUCUUAAUCUCAGUUUGACAAAGUUGAAGACACACGAUGAUAUGUGGAGCUAUAUUCAGGAGAAAUAUGACAUUUCUAACAACGGGAAAGAAUGGGUUAUGAGAUCAAUUGAUGCAGCAUUUAGAGGGUAUAGGUCCAGAUUCAAGAAAGAUCACUUUUAUGCGUACACCAAUGAUGAAAUUCGAAGGGCAAAAAGGCCUACAUCUGUUCUAGAACUUGUAUUUGAGGAUCUCCUUGAGUAUUGGAAUUUAGAAGAAGCAAAGGAUGAAAUAGAGAGAGUAGAGACUCAAGAAAGUGAAUAUGGUACUUAAUCAACUGAUGCAUUCACAACAGUUAUGGGGCUUGAUCAUCCUGGUCGAGUAAGACUACUCGGACACGGGGUUACUAAGACUUUUUUGAAAUAGAAAGCAAAUAAUUAUGGAUCCUCUUCAAAAGAAGAUGAAAUGGUGGAGAAGAGAUUAGAUGAGCUAAAAGAGAGGAUUCAACAAAGAAUGAAUGCUCAAAGAGAUGCCAUUGAGCGAGAAGUUACAAUGAACAUCAUAGCACAACUUUGGCUUCUAAAUCCAGGAUUAACACUUGAUCCUAAUAUGCUAGGAUUUAAUGUUCAUUCGUCAUGAGAAGCUCUUUCUAAUCAACCAAUAAAUCGUCCAUCUGUUGGUAGUAACAAUCAAGGUCAAUUUCUAUUUUUUGAUUUGUUAGUAGUAACAAUCUGUUGGUAGAACUUCUAUUGCUUUUGGUGUGUGUUUGUUGCUGAUUAGAUGGUGAAAGUUUGGUAUUAGUAUUUUGGUAUUGUGGGCUGGUAUUAUUAGUUUGGUAUUGUGUCCUGAAAGAAUAUAAAGAUGAUCCCUCCCUUUAA